GGUGAGUAACGCGUGGAUAACCUGCCUCACACUGGGGGAUAACAGUUAGAAAUGGCUGCUAAUACCGCAUAAGCGCACAGUACCGCAUGGGACGGUGUGAAAAACCCAGGUGGUGUGAGAUGGAUCCGCGUCUGAUUANCCAGUUGGCGGGGUAACGGCCCACCAAAGCGACGAUCAGUAGCCGACCUGAGAGGGUGACCGGCCACAUUGGGACUGAGACACGGCCCAAACUCCUACGGGAGGCAGCAGUGGGGAAUAUUGCACAAUGGGCGCAAGCCUGAUGCAGCGACGCCGCGUGAGUGAAAAAAUAUCUCGGUAUGUAAAGCUCUAUCAGCAGGAAAAAGGAUAAAAACCCGGCUAACUACGUGCCAGCAGCCGCGGUAAUACGUAGGGGGCAAGCGUUAUCCGGAUUUACUGGGUGUAAAGGGAGCGUAGACGGCGACGCAAGUCUGGAGUGAAAGCCCGGGGCCCAACCCCGGGACUGCUUUGGAAACUGUGCUGCUGGAGUGCAGAGAGGUAAGUGGAAUUCCUAGUGUACGGUGAAAUGCGUAAUAUUAGAGGAACACCAGUGGCGAAGGCGGCUUACUGGACUGUAACUGACGUUGAGGCUCGAAAGCGUGGGGAGCAAACAGGAUUAGAUACCCUGGUAGUCCACGCCGUAAACGAUGAAUGCUANGUGUCGGGGGGCAAAGCCCUUCGGUGCCGCCGCUAACGCAAUAAGCAUUCCACCUGGGGAGUACGUUCGCAAGAAUGAAACUCAAAGGAAUUGACCGGGACCCGCACAAGCGGUGGACCAUGUGCUUUAAUUCGAAACAACGCGAAAAACCUUACCAAGUCUUGACAUCCCCCUGACCGGUCCGUAACGGGGCCUUUCCUUCGGGACAGGGGAGACAGGUGGUGCAUGGUUGUCGUCAGCUCGUGUCGUGAGAUGUUGGGUUAAGUCCCGCAACGAGCGCAACCCUUAUCCUUAGUAGCCAGCACGUCGUGGUGGGCACUCUAGGGAGACUGCCAGGGAUAACCUGGAGGAAGGUGGGGAUGACGUCAAAUCAUCAUGCCCCUUAUGAUUUGGGCUACACACGUGCUACAAUGGCGUAAACAAAGGGAGGCGACCCUGCGAAGGUAAGCAAAUCCCAAAAAUAACGUCCCAGUUCGGACUGUAGUCUGCAACCCGACUACACGAAGCUGGAAUCGCUAGUAAUCGCGGAUCAGAAUGCCGCGGUGAAUACGUUCCCGGGUCUUGUACACACCGCCCGUCACACCAUGGGAGUCAGCAACGCCCGAAGUCAGUG
rnacentral:rRNA from 2 species